GACAGAGGGGGCUAGCGUUGUUCGGAAUCAUUGGGCGUAAAGGGCGCGUAGGCGGCCUUGUAAGUCAGAGGUGAAAUCCUGGAGCUCAACUUCAGAAUUGCCUUUGAUACUGCUUAGCUUGAGUCCGAGAGAGGAUAGUGGAAUUCCUAGUGUAGAGGUGAAAUUCGUAGAUAUUAGGAGGAACACCAGUUGCGAAGGCGACUCUCUGGCUCGGUACUGACGCUGAGGCGCGAAAGCGUGGGGAGCAACCAGG
rnacentral:rRNA from 1 species